CAUAUUACAGGCAGUUGUGGAUCACAGAUCACGGUGAGUAACCAGUCACAUUCAGUAGUUUUUCUUAUCCGUAUUUACUUUUGGUUGUUUUAUUGUAUUGUCUCUUUUAAACAAACUAAUACUUGUUUAAUUUACAGCUUUACCAAUAUAAAUGUGGGGUGGCCAGGCAGUGUUCAUGAUGCCCGAGUGUUGCGUAAUUCCACCUUGUUUCAUCUAGCAGAGAAUGGACAGCUGUUCCCAACGGAAACACAAGAAAUUGAGGGUGUGCACAUUCCAGUGAUGCUACUUGGUGACCCUGCAUACCCACUCAUGAGCUGGUUGAUGAAGGGAUUUCCUGACAAUGGUCAUCUCUCCAGAGAAGAGAGGCUCUUCAACUACCGUUUGAGCCGUGCACGUAUGACUGUUGAAUGUGCAUUUGGACAGCUGAAAGGGAGAUGGAGGUGUUUGCUGAAAAAAAUUGAAGUCAGUAUAACAAGAGUCCCAACCAUUAUCAGUGCCUGCUGUGUCCUACAUAACUUGUGUUCAAUGAACGACGACACAUUUUUGGAUGCUUGGAUGCAGGAUGUAGAGGAGCCGGUUGAAGUGAAUGCACCUGACAUUCCAGUGACACAAGAGAGAGCUGAAGGCCCACAGUGUGUUAGACGGGCACUCUCGUUAUAUUUUGACAAAAAUCCACUAUAAACAAUUGAUUGAACUGAAACCUUGUAUAGAAAUUGUACAGUAUCUAAACUUAGGUUUCUGUCUACUUCUUAUUGAUUUGUUUGUGUUAUUCUCAAUAAAUCUCAGAUUUUUGUA